rnacentral:rRNA from 1 species
AGGAUGGGCAUGCGUCUGAUUAGCUAGUUGGUAGGGAACGGCCUACCAAGGCAACGAUCAGUAGGGGGCCUGAGAGGGUGACCCCCACACUGGGACUGAGACACGGCCCAGACUCCUACGGGAGGCAGCAGUGGGAAUUUUCCGCAAUGGGCGCAAGCCUGACGGAGCAAGACCGCGUGGGGGGGAAGGCCUUUGGGUUGUAAACCCCUUUUCUCAGGGAAGAAGCAAUGACGUACCUGAGGAAUCAGCCUCGGCUAACUCCGUGCCAGCAGCCGCGGUAAACGGAGGAGGCAAGCGUUAUCCGGAAUUAUUGGGCGUAAAGCGUCCGUAGUGGUGGGGCAAGUCGGCGGUUAAAGCCUGGGGCUUAACUCCAGACAGGCGUGGAAACUGCACCACUAGAGGGCAGUAGGGGUAGAGGGAAUUCCCGGGUAGCGGUGAAAUGCGUAGAGAUCGGGAGGAACACCAGUGGCGAAGGCGCUUUCUGGGGAUGUUCCUGAACUUUCAGACGCGAGUGUUAGGGUAGCCAACGGGAUUUAGAGACCCCUGGUGUCCUAG